rnacentral:rRNA from 1 species
GACGAACGCUGGCGGCGUGCCUAAUACAUGCAAGUCGAGCGCUGAAGGAGGAGCUUGCUUCUCUGGAUGAGUUGCGAACGGGUGAGUAACGCGUAGGUAACCUGCCUGGUAGCGGGGGAUAACUAUUGGAAACGAUAGCUAAUACCGCAUAAGAGUAGAUGUUGCAUGACAUUUGCUUAAAAGGUGCAAUUGCAUCACUACCAGAUGGACCUGCGUUGUAUUAGCUAGUUGGUGGGGUAACGGCUCACCAAGGCGACGAUACAUAGCCGACCUGAGAGGGUGAUCGGCCACACUGGGACUGAGACACGGCCCAGACUCCUACGGGAGGCAGCAGUAGGGAAUCUUCGGCAAGGGACGGAAGUCUGACCGAGAAACGCCGCGUGAGUGAAGAAGGGUGUCGGAUCGUAAAGCUCUGUUGUAAGAGAAGAACGAGUGUGAGAGUGGAAAGUUCACACUGUGACGGUAUCUUACCAGAAAGGGACGGCUAACUACGUG